rnacentral:lncRNA from 1 species
CAACUCCCAUCUCAGACGCCGCUCCUCCUCCUCCUCCAACCAUUUUUCCGGUGACCUCCCUCUUCUCUUUCGACCAGUUUUUUGUGCUUUUUAAUGCAUUAUUUUUUUUAGAGUUAUGGAAACUAAUGAUGGUCGACAACAAUGGACGGAUGAGGCUGUUAAAUGCUUAUUAGAAACAUGUCUUGAAGAAAUAGGGAGGAUAGGUAGAAAUGGACAAAGCUUGUGCAGGGAGUCUUGGGUUAUAGUAGGGAAGAAACUCAAGGAACAAUUUCACAUGGAUUUGACUCAAAAGCAAAUUAGAAAUGCUUUUGAUAUUAUGAAAUCAAAAUAUGUAGGAUGGUGCUAUUU